AAAUGCCAUUCAUCCCGGCGCUGCGCAACACC
rnacentral:sRNA from 1 species